rnacentral:rRNA from 1 species
UACGGAGGGUGCUAGCGUUGUUCGGAAUUACUGGGCGUAAAGCGCGUGUAGGCGGCCGAUUAAGUCUGGUGUGAAAGCCCGGGGCUCACCCCCGGAAGUGCGCUGGAAACUGGUCGGCUAGAGUAUGGGAGAGGAAACUGGAAUUCCUGGUGUAGCGGUGAAAUGCGCAGAUAUCAGGAGGAACACCAAUGGCGAAGGCAGCUCGCUGGAACGGUACUGACGCUGAGGCGCGAAAGCGUGGGGAGCGAACAGG